rnacentral:rRNA from 1 species
ACAUACGACCAUAGGUAUUAGAAAACUCGGCAUCCCGUCCGCUCUGCCCUAGAUAAACUAGUAACCGCUGGAUUAGUACUCAGGUGGGUGACCACUGGGGAAUCCCCGGUGUUGUAUGUA